GGGCUUUGCCCGGCACGCUGCUGCUGUCGGAUUUGUACUGCUGCUCGGGAGAAAAGUGCAGAAUCCCAUCCGCGCACCUCUCCCCUCUCCCUGCGCUCCUGACACCUCUCUCAUCGGAAAACCGCGUGGAGGGGAGCAGUCCAUCAGCCGAGGACUCUGGCCGCAUUAAUGGCGGCUCCCAGAAGCUCCUGCCCCUCUGACAGCUGUCGCUGGGGCAGCCCGGGGAGACGAAUCGCCCUCCUUCCUGGUGCCAGAGGACGCAGGAAAUUAGCCAGGUUGCGAGUUGCAGAGGCCGCCGCGGCGCCGGGAGCAGGGCGCACCCCACCUCCAGCGGGGAGGGCCGGGCCCGGCCGGCCCGGGGCCUCGCCUGGCUCGCCAUCGCCGGACAAAGCGCAGCCGAGCCGGCUGGAAGGCAGAGCUCCGAAGCAGGCAGGACGGAGCGGAGCACAAGAAUGCAGCUCUAUUCUCGCAAGGGAAAUUAUAAAAAAGUUCAUGUUCACGGUUCCCAUCCACAUGACCGACAACGGCCAAUGGAAGGGCCGAACAACUCAUAAAGUUGUAUUGCAAAGUUGUAAAUUUUCAUAAACAACAACGGAUUUAUGACCCUUUC